rnacentral:lncRNA from 1 species
UAGCAGAUAAGCAUGCAGAAAUUUCAUUAAACUUUGUUUCUUGAAUAGCACAAUAUAAUAUGUUCAUAGCAUUAGCAUUCAAUUGUGCUAAGUCCUUUUCAUUAAUAGUUUGAGAGAGUGUGUGAAGGUCAUUUAUUAUGAUUUUCCAUAAAUAAUAGUUUUGUGAUUGAAUAAAAAUGCGCAUGCGUAUUUUCCAAUGUGUAU